GUACGCUGCGGCGUGCCUAAUACAUGCAAGUCGAGCGAAUGGAUUAAGAGCUUGCUCUUAUGAAGUUAGCGGCGGACGGGUGAGUAACACGUGGGUAACCUGCCCAUAAGACUGGGAUAACUCCGGGAAACCGGGGCUAAUACCGGAUAACAUUUUGAACUGCAUGGUUCGAAAUUGAAAGGCGGCUUCGGCUGUCACUUAUGGAUGGACCCGCGUCGCAUUAGCUAGUUGGUGAGGUAACGGCUCACCAAGGCAACGAUGCGUAGCCGACCUGAGAGGGUGAUCGGCCACACUGGGACUGAGACACGGCCCAGACUCCUACGGGAGGCAGCAGUAGGGAAUCUUCCGCAAUGGACGAAAGUCUGACGGAGCAACGCCGCGUGAGUGAUGAAGGCUUUCGGGUCGUAAAACUCUGUUGUUAGGGAAGAACAAGUGCUAGUUGAAUAAGCUGGCACCUUGACGGUACCUAACCAGAAAGCCACGGCUAACUACGUGCCAGCAGCCGCGGUAAUACGUAGGUGGCAAGC
rnacentral:rRNA from 1 species